ensembl:lncRNA
CUCUUAACAGUCACUAAACAUGUGAAAGCCUACUUACAUUUAUAAAGGCAAAAAGAAAGAUCAUGAUUCUCUAAUAGGGAACAUGAAUCCCCAAAUAAAUUAUCUUACAAAAAUAUCAAAAUUGCUUUCCCCCUUGUCUACUACUGGUAAAUAUGAAAAGAAAAUUCACACUGUAAAAAUCUGUAGGCUGAUAUAGUAAGUUAAGGCCAUUAUUUUUGCAUAUUAAAUAAGUCCUUCAAAUAAAUAUUUUACACAAAUUUAAGUUUAAAAAAACAGGUUAGGUUUCACCCUAUAUUUCUUUGGUCCACUAAAAGACCAUUUUAUCAACUGACAUUAAACUGGACAACAGCUCACACCAUGAACAACACACACACCACUGAGACCGCACGUGUGCAAUGGCUAACACUGCUGCAUCCUGAGGAGUUUCACCCUGCACAAACCCUCAAGCCUAUCCGGAAUCAAGCUGCAGGGAAAGAGCAAAAGAUAUUAAUACCUACUACAGAAAUGUGCAGGCAUCGUGAAAAAAUGCAGAAAGGAUAAGUCUUCCAGACAUAAAGAUUACUGAACAUGGGUAAAACUCAAGACUGCUUCCAAAUACCUGAACUUGGAAUGCAGUCAGCACACUCGUGGAGGACACAGGAAUGAACACGUGACAGAACUCUGGCUUCUGUGGGGUAUAUUCCUGUUGUUUUAUUCCAAAGUUUUAUGUGAACUUCAAUCCUGGUGGAGAUUUAAUAAAAUACCAGUACAUUAAGUUCUUCUAUUCUAACAACCAAAUGUAAGAAAAACUACCAUAGAGGGAUAUAGGACUUUUUUGUAUCUUCCUAGACUUUUAAAGCUAAUUUGAUUUUCAUUAUAAUGAUAUUUUAAUUAACAAUAUGCUAAAAACAAAAUCGACAGAAUUACUUUUUGUCCACACUGUUCAAUUCUCUUAUUGCUAAAAUACUGUAUUACAAAAUGAAUCCAGUGAACAUCUUCAAUUUCAAAAGGCCUGAGAGGUGAAUUCAACUUUUCUUUAAUCUAGGCUGAGGACAGCGAUGGUAACUUUGCAAAUUGAAGCUUUCCAUCCAGGAUAGAAAAAACGAGCAUCCAAAGUAGAGAGAACCACAAAACCACUUCUCUUGUUAUUCGAGCUAGUAGCUACUCAGAGCUUAAAGUUUCCGUCUUCAUUAUUAUUGGCGGUUCCAAAAGUCACAGUUUCGAUGUCAAACGUGACAGUAGAUCCAGAAGUAACUGCAGGCAACUGGUUGGUCAUUUCUUUUCCAUUUACAAAAACUGCACCAUUGGUACUGAUUCACACUGCCUGGUCCCGCUGCAGAGAGCCGCAUCCGCGCUGGUUCUCUGCACACACUCUGAUACUGCCUCUGCGGUCUGGCUGCCCCACAGUUUCAACCCUGAAUGUUAAUGUCUGCGCACAGAAAUAGGUCGGAGCUUUGGAGUAGAGAACACCCGAGGAUUCAGAAUCAUUCCGAAGAGCUAUGUUUCUUUGACUGCUCAGACUGUACUCCUCAAAGCCAGUUGUCCACUCAUGAGGCCCCAGUGUGGAGUGACCUAUCUGGGGGACGCUCCAAGGACUCCACUCCUGUCGCCCGUAUCCUCGAGCGUAGACUCUGAACUGAUAAUCAACAAACAUCGGGGUCUAUGUGUAGUACAAUGAAUUCAGUUUCAGAUCCUACGUAUUGGUCUUCAAAAUGAUUUGAAGUGCAUUUACGGAACUGAAGCCUGUAAUCUUGGGCUGCAAAGUCGUCGUCCACCUUACACCAUCGCACGAUGAUGCCCCCAGGCCUCUCUAUCAGCUCUUCUAUCUGUUCUGGUGAACGGAAUGCUACAGCCACAUGCUUAAAAAUGUGGUCUUUCACUAUGUUCAAAAUGGAAUCAUCCAACUGAGCAGAUAAGCAAGGCGCAUCAACCAGCACAGGCACUUCCGGGUCACAUGAUAGCAUCCUGUGAUGCCUGUGGGGUUAUAAAGCUAUGGGACUUUCGGAAGCUUUUACCAGUUGUGUCCAUUGAUGUAGGUCCAAGUCCUGGCGAUGAGGUGAAUUUUGAUUCAUCAGCCCUCCGUUCAACCCCUGGAGAAAUCCCAGCAAAGAAAACAAAAAGAACAAGAAAUUACUGAGGCAAUAAAGAAAAAAGAAAGCGAGGUUGAAAAGGUACCACAGAAGAAGUCCAUUGAUCCUGCCUUGUCAAUGCUGAUUACAUCUGUAAAAAAACAAAACAGAACAGUUUCAAGCAAGAAAAAAACAAAGAGUCAAAUAAGUGGAUAUUAUUUCUUUUUGCAUUGAUAAUGUAUUCUAAAGCAUACAGAAACAGUAGAGGAGAUACUGGGAAUAAAGUCACCUUUUCACAUAAAAAAAUCUUUUUCUGACCAUAGUAAGAUUCCUUUACAUGUAUACUUGUACUUAAUUGUGGCUGAUUGAUAGAGUUGUACUGUAUAUUUCCACAGAUCUAUCAUAGUUAAAUUACCUGAAUUACAAAAAAAAAAAAAGAAGGAAAAAAGAUGUUCAUAGCUGAU